rnacentral:piRNA from 1 species
UAAGGGUACAAUGAGGCUGCACUGAUGG